rnacentral:hammerhead_ribozyme from 1 species
AAAAAAUUGUUUCUUGACCAGUUGCCUACAGCUGAUGAGCUCCAGUAAGAGCGAAACCAGUUCUCACCUACUGCUGAAACAAUUUUGAAGUGUGAAUUGGUCCUGUAGUACUGUGUCAGAAACAGAAA